GCCAGGUUAAGGCCAGGUGACUACAGGCUGGGUUAAGGCCAGGUGACUACAGGCUGGGUUAAGGCCAGGUGACUACAGGCUGGGUUAAGGCCAGGUGACUACAGGCCAGGUGACUACAGGCUGGGUUAAGGCCAGGUGACUACAGGCUGGGUUAAGGCCAGGUGACUACAGGCUGGGUUAAGGCCAGGUGACUACAGGCUGGGUUAAGGCCAGGUGACUACAGGCCAGG